CCUAUAAAGUUUUCUAUGAGCUUUGACUAUGCCACUAUUUCUUCCACAUCAGGUGAUAUUUACAUUUCUUUCCUUUUGCUUAGUGUAAGCUGAUUUUUUUUAAAA